AUACUUACCUGGCAGGGGAGAUACCGUGAUCACGAAGGCGGUUCACCCAGGGCGAGGCUCGGCCAUUGCACUCCGGCUGUGUUGACCCCUGCGAAUUCCUCAAAUGUGGGAAUCUCGACUGCAUAAUUUCUGCUAGUGGGGGACUGCGUUCGCGCUCUCCCCUG